CAGAGUUGGAAAUUCUUCCACCAUUUCCAACCAAUCACCGACCUCAUUUCGUUGAACACGCAGCUCACCGGUCUUCCUCAAGGUGUCUUCAACAUCCUAGUGAUCAGCGUUCCCCGAGGUGUUCGCUGGAAGACCAGGAAAUCUACCAAUCUUCUCUCCAUUGCGAUUACCAAGCUCCACGCCGAUAUCCUGUGUCGCUAGUCCUGACACCAUUUUCAGCCAUCCGUCAGCAUAUCUUUUGAUGGCCAAUCGUUGCGACUCCAUUCCCCAAUGUGUCCUUGACUUUUUCCUGGCCAGCACUCAUCGGACUCAUGAUCGAUCGUCCUCAAUUACCUUUUGAUUGUUCAUUUGGAGUUUAUUAUUUUGAAUACCUUAUUGAUUUUGUUCGCUGGUUCCAGCUGAUUGCCGAGCUUCCUUAGCCAUCUAAUCCUUGUGAUUAGAUUCUUCGUGGUAUCCUCAAAGUCAUCACAGUGAUUGAUUACCUAAAUCCUCGCCCGAGGUCCCUUAGAGAAGCCGGAUUGCUCGUUGGAGUUCCUAUACUCAAGACUCGAACAUCGGAGAAUUCAACCGAAGUCAAUAAUCCAGAAUAUACGUCAUGGGUGUGUAGUGACCGCCUCGUAAAGUCUUGGAUCGUGGGCACACUCUCAAAAGAGGUUCUCGGACAUGCUAUUGGACUUCAAACAGCAGCUGAAGUGUGAAAGGCUCUCACCGAUCAUUUCAAGCAAAGCUCGGUGACUUGAGAACUUGAUCUGCUUGGACAACUUCAACACAAUAGGAAAGAAAAUAAGCCUUUAUCUGUCUAUCUUCGUGACUUUAAAUCUAUUUACUAUCAAUUGCAUUCCAUUGGUAAACCUGUGUCGGAUGCUAAUAAAUUCUUCAGAUUACUUGAAGGACUUGAUGAUAGCUAUGAGUCAUUCAAAAUGACCAUGUUCAGGCCUCCUCUUCUAUCUCAUGCUGAAGUGGUUGCACAACUUCAAAGUUAUGAGUUACGAAACAAGCGCACUUCAACCAUGCUCCCAAACAGUUCAAUGGCGUUUAUCUCGCAGCGACAUAAUGGUGGCUACAAAAACACCCCAAAGGAAGGGGUACAGGACCCACAUUUAAUUCUAGGGGUCGUGGCUUUUCUCAGACAAACCAAAAUGGUCGGCAAUUUUCAGGAAACUACUAUACAACUCAGCAAACCAAACCGUUGGUGUAUCGUCAAACUCAAACUUCGAAGUGCCAUCUCUCAUCUGUCAUAUUUGUAAGAAGAAGGGGCAUGAUGCAUUGAAUUACUGGUAUCGUUUCGAUAACAAUUAUCAGAGUAUUAAUAUACCCCAUGGCUUGGCUACACUUCAUAUCUCAAA